rnacentral:ncRNA from 1 species
CAACCUCCUAUUUUGGUUGCAAUCAGCCGCACCAAAAGUACAUAAAUAUAUGUAUACAUAUAUAUAUGUAUACGCUAUGGCUCAUUAAAUCAGUUAUGGUUUCUUGGAUCGUACUUUACUACUUGGAUAACUGUGGCAAUUCUAGAGUUAAUACAUGCAGCAGAGCUCCGAACCUCUGGGAACGAGCGCUUUUAUUAGACCAAAACCAAUCUGACCUCGUGUCCGUAUUAUGUGGUGACUCUGCAUAACUUUGGGCUGAUCGCAAGGGCUCGGCCCGGCGACAUAUCUUUCAAGUGUUUGCCAUAUCAACUAUCGAUAGUAGGUUACGCGCCUACCAUGGUCGUAACGGGUGUCGGGGAAUUAGGGUUCGGUUUCGGAGAGGGAGCUCUGAGAAACGGCUACCACAUCCAAGGAAGGCAGCAUGUGCGCAAAUUACCCACUCCCAGAAUUUGGAGGUAGUGACGAAAAAUAACAAUAAGGGAUUCUUUUGAGACUUCGUAAUUCGAAUGAGCACACUCUAAAUCCUAUAACGAGGAUCAGUUGCAGGGCAAGUCUGGUGCCAGCAGUCGCGGUAAUUGCAACUCCAAUAGCGUAUAUUAAAGUUGCUGCGGUUAAAAAGUUCGUAGUCGGAUCUCAGUUCCAGGCGGGUGGUCCGCCUGCCGGUGGUUACUGCCUGUUCUGAACAUCCAGAUGGUUUCCUUUGAUGAUCUUCACCGGUUGUCUUGGGUGACGCGUAAGUUUACUUUAAAAAAUUAGAGUGCUGAAAGCAGGUGUGACACUUGAAUAAUAAUGUUUUUAAACUGUGCAUUUUUAGCUUUAAAAAGAGAUUGAAUUAUGUUUUUCUUAUCUUCCU